CCUACGGUGCGCAGCAGUCGAGAAUCAUUCACAAUGGGGGAAACCCUGAUGGUGCGACGCCGCGUGGGGGAAUGAAGGUCUUCGGAUUGUAAACCCCUGUCAUGUGGGAGCAAAUUAAAAAGAUAGUACCACAAGAGGAAGAGACGGCUAACUCUGUGCCAGCAGCCGCGGUAAUACAGAGGUCUCAAGCGUUGUUCGGAAUCACUGGGCGUAAAGCGUGCGUAGGCUGUUUCGUAAGUCGUGUGUGAAAGGCGCGGGCUCAACCCGCGGACGGCACAUGAUACUGCGAGACUAGAGUAAUGGAGGGGGAACCGGAAUUCUCGGGGUAGCAGUGAAAUGCGUAGAUAUCGAGAGGAACACUCGUGGCGAAGGCGGGUUCCUGGACAUUAGCUGACGCUGAGGCACGAAGGCCAGGGGAGCGAAAGGGAUUAGAUACCCCGGUAGUC
rnacentral:rRNA from 1 species